AUUGAACGCUGGCGGCAUGCCUUACACAUGCAAGUCGAACGGCAACGCGGGGCAACCUGGCGACGAGUGGCGAACGGGUGAGUAAUGUAUCGGAACGUGCCCAGUAGUGGGGGAUAGCCCGGCGAAAGCCGGAUUAAUACCGCAUACGACCUACGGGUGAAAGCGGGGGAUCGCAAGACCUCGCGCUAUUGGAGCGGCCGAUAUCAGAUUAGGUAGUUGGUGGGGUAAAGGCCUACCAAGCCUACGAUCUGUAGCUGGUCUGAGAGGACGACCAGCCACACUGGGACUGAGACACGGCCCAGACUCCUACGGGAGGCAGCAGUGGGGAAUUUUGGACAAUGGGCGCAAGCCUGAUCCAGCCAUGCCGCGUGCGGGAAGAAGGCCUUCGGGUUGUAAACCGCUUUUGUCAGGGAAGAAACGCUCUGGGCUAAUACCCUGGGGUAAUGACGGUACCUGAAGAAUAAGCACCGGCUAACUACGUGCCAGCAGCCGCAGUAAUAC
rnacentral:rRNA from 1 species